GGACGGGUUGCAAAAUUGAUGUCGCCACCUUAAGUAUCUCUAGAAGCCGAACGGUUAAGUAUUUUGGUGAGAUAAAUACUACGAUUAAUAUAAUAUGAUUGUUUUUCAACCCACUGAAAAAAAUUUGAACCUUUGAUUAAAUAUAGCGAAGUAAUACCACCAAAUAUGACAGGGGGCAUUUUUUUUGGGACACCCUGUAUUCUUGGUUUCAAUUUUACUAAAAGAGAUGCGCUAUCUAGUGUAUAUAAGAUAUCUAUGCAUGGUAUACCAACACGGAAAAUAUUUUAUAUUUGUUAAGUAUAACAUUCAUGUAGCGAGCAAUAUACGUAUAAUUCUUAAGUACUUAUAGCUUGUGAACGUUUUAAGGACCGUCUUAAAAAUUGUCUGAGUAUGGAAAUUGAGCAGAAUGAUUAAAUAUUAAAAUUGUGAUGUGUUUACAUAAAACGAAGGUGAAACAUAAAAACACAGAAGUUUAAGAAUUUUAUAUCAUGA